GGCCCCAUCGUCUAGUUAGGCCUAGGACACCGGGUUUUCAUCCCGGCAACUGGGGUUCAAAUCCCCAUGGGGUCA
rnacentral:tRNA from 4 species